UUAUAUGAGAGUUUGAUCCUGGCUCAGGAUGAACGCUGGCGGCGUGCCUAAUACAUGCAAGUCGAACGAGUUCUGAUUAUUGAAAGGUGCUUGCAUCUUGAUUUAAUUUUGAACGAGUGGCGGACGGGUGAGUAACACGUGGGUAACCUGCCCUUAAGUGGG
rnacentral:rRNA from 1 species